UACGUAGGGUGCGAGCGUUAAUCGGAAUUACUGGGCGUAAAGGGCUCGUAGGUGGCCAACUAAGUCAGACGUGAAAUCCCUCGGCUUAACCGGGGAACUGCGUCUGAUACUGGAUGGCUUGAGUUUGGGAGAGGGACGCGGAAUUCCAGGUGUAGCGGUGAAAUGCGCAGAUAUCAGGAGGAACACCGGUGGCGAAGGCGGUUCUCUGGGCCUGUACUGACGCUGAGGAACGAAAGCGUGGGGAGCAAACAGG
rnacentral:rRNA from 1 species